AUACGGAGGAUCCGAGCGUUAUCCGGAUUUAUUGGGUUUAAAGGGAGCGCAGGCGGAGAUGCAAGCGUGACGUCAAAUUUCGGGGCUCAACCCCGUCUCGCGUCGCGAACUGCGUCCCUUGGUUGCGGGAAGGGGAGGCGGAACUCCUGGGGUAGCGGUGAAAUGCAUAGAUAUCACGAAGAACUCCGAUCGCGAAGGCAGCCUUCCGGCCCGUCAACGACGCUCAUGCUCGAAGGUGCGGGUAUCAAACAGGAUUAGAUACCCUGGUAGUCCGCACAGUAAACGAUGGACACCCGCGGUUUGGCCUGUAUGGCUGAGCCGCCAAGCGAAAGCGUUAAGUGUCCCACCUGGGGAGUACGCCGGCAACGGUGAAACUCAAAGGAAUUGACGGGG
rnacentral:rRNA from 1 species